AGAAAAUGGCUAAUGAAUGUAUUUGAAGAAAGAAUUUUUUUUUCCUUGUUUAUAAUGUACCGAUGCUUUCCAUGGUGAAUUGGAUGAAAUAAUGCUUUAAUUGCUUCUACUAUUGUAAUCAAUAGAUUUGCUCCAGUUCUUUU